rnacentral:misc_RNA from 1 species
ACUGUGUGUGACGACUACUUCACUGAUAUAGAGGCCGGCGUAGUGUGUCGUAUGAUGGGUUACAGGACAGGCGUUGCUACCGAAGGAGGAUAUUUUGGUCCUGGUUCUGGGAUGGUUCUCCUUGACAAUGUCAGAUGUCAGGGUACAGAGAGAUCCUUGUCUCAUUGCAGAAACGAUGGGUGGGGCAUCAGUAAUUGUGAGCAUCCCGAAGAUGUUGGGGUUAUUUGUGACGCCCCUCCCACCACAAUAGCAACCACUACAAGUAGUCAGGGAUCAGUAGAUGAUGAAGUGAUCAUUCGCUUGGUUAACAAUGUUGAGGGAAUCGAAGGACGAGGAACUUUGGAAUUGGAGUACAAUGGAGUUAAAGGAUCAGUGUGUGAUGAUGACUGGGAUGACCUUGAUGCCAAGGUCGUGUGUACAAUGCUAGGAUACAGGAGUGGAGUGGCAGUAUCUAAUGCAAGGUUUGGGCGGGGAUCAGGUCCUAUUUACUUGGAUGAUGUUGCCUGUUAUGGAACAGAGGAUUCCUUGUUGGACUGUGACAGUUCUGGAUGGGGCCAGAGCAACUGUGCACACAACGAAGACGCAGGGGUCAUAUGUUACUCUGCAGAUGAGAUAUCAACUGAUGAUAUCAACCAACUUCCCACUGAUUGUGGUAGACGACCAAUGGAGGAUGUGAUUAACUCGAGACGAAAACGAGACACUAGUGAAAGAACGGUUGAGGACUGGCGACCUCCUUUAAAAAUAUUUGGAGGAUUAAAUGCUGAUUAUGGGAUGUUUCCUUGGCAAGUGGCGAUCAGAAAAGUCAUCUAUCGAACAAAAACCAGAAAAAUAGAUGCCCAACACUGUGGCGGUAUCGUCCUUAGCCGGUUCUGGAUUCUGAGUGCUGCCCAUUGUUUUGAUGAUGAAGUUAAGUCUGAUCUUAUCAUACGGGUUGGAGACCUGAACAACAAAGAGCCUGAUUCUGAUGAGGAAGAGUUUGAGGUGGAGGAAAUUUUUAUGCAUGAGGGCUAUGACACUAAGACCUAUGACAAUGACAUAGCUUUGAUUAAGAUAACUCCAAAAGAUGGUCGAGGAAUCAUGGCUGGGAUGUACGUCCAACCUGCGUGUCUGCCUUCUGAUAACACACCGUACACUGAGGACUUGGACUGUUAUAUAUCAGGGUGGGGGGCGACUUCAUUAGGUUCUCCAAACAAAUUGAAGUAUGCAGAAGUUCCUAUCAUUGAUCGUAGUACAUGUCGUAACGUAUAUAAAGGCGCUCUGACUCCCAGCAUGUUCUGUGCCGGAUACCUGAAAGGUGGCAUAGACAGUUGUCAGGGUGACAGUGGAGGGCCUCUUGUCUGUAAAGUCGGGGGUAAAUACACUGUAUUGGGAGUGACAUCGUGGGGAAGAGGUUGUGGGGAUCCAAAUUCUCCAGGAGUGUACACAGUUGUCAAGAGUCAUCUACAGUGGAUCCAGGAUAAACUUCAAACCUGAGGAAAAAUACACUGUUGCAAUCAUGCACAGUCUGCUGCUUUUUAAAAAAAAAUUAAAUGCAAAUUAAAAGUAAAUCAUGCAUCAUUAUCAUUGUUUGAUAAUAAAACAAUACCAAUUCCAUGU